rnacentral:lncRNA from 1 species
CUUGACCAUGGACAAGAGGGGAUGGGCUAGACCCCUGGGCUCUGGGACCAAACCAAACAGAGGGAAUGUCCCAUGAAUCUUCACGAGUACACCAGUUGAUAAUCUGCAGUGGAACUCAAGAAGACAUCAGCCCUUGAGAGAGGCCUGACAAAGGCGCUGAGGAAGCUGGAUGACUACCUGAACACCCCUCUGCCAGAGGAGAUUGACACCAACACCCAUGGGGACGAGAAGGGCUCCCAGCGCAAGUUCCUGGAUGGGGAUGAGCUAACCCUGGCCGACUGCAAUCUACUGCCCAAACUCCAUGUGGUCAAGAUUGUGGCUAAGAAGUACAGAAACUAUGACAUCCCAGCUGAGAUGACAGGCUUGUGGCGGUACCUCAAGAAUGCCUAUGCACGGGACGAGUUCACCAACACCUGUGCAGCUGACAGCGAGAUCGAGUUGGCCUACGCAGAUGUCGCCAGGCGCCUCAGCCGAUCCUGAGCUUGGCCGUCUGACCCGAUUUCUGCUGCAGAAGAAUUUCAUUUCUCCCAAAGGCUUUCAGCUCUACAGACUCUUCUUCACCAUUGCCUUGGGGAGGCAUCAAAAAAGUUAGGCCACAUCCUACUGGCACCCCUGAACUCAGCUCCAGCCUUCUACCUUCUAAGAUCAGUGCCAUCCUUCUGCCUUGACCUGCAGAAGCCCAGUAAGCAGCGAGGACGCAGUAGCAGAUGUUUCCACCUGCUGGUCUGACCUAGGGUCAGUGUGUCAGGGGUCAGUUUGCGGAGCUCCCAUGGGAUUGUCACUGUUCCUUUCUGCCAAUGUCAUAAUGCUUUCUCAGAUGCUCUAACAACUCGAAAUGCCAGCUUCCCCCUUCCCCUCCUUCCUCAGCAACUGCAAGGUGAUGGACAAAUGCCAUGACAUGAUCGUUAGGGAGAGAUCUAUGCUUUGAUUGGGGAGAGAGUGGUUGGGGGUAGUCAGAUAGGUAUGACUCUGGAUAUGUAGCAAAACAGUUCCAGCUGCUCACUGUUUCUGUCAGUGGGCCAGAUUGAAACACCCACCCCACCCCACAUACACAAUACACCCCAAUUUCCUGCAGUUUGGGGGCUGGUGCAAUAUGAUUGUGUCCUGGCCAGCACUGACCCAAGUUUUCCUCCUGUCUCCAUUUGUUUUGCCACAAAGGCAGUUGACCUAUAAACUCUAAACUGGUGACCCAGAAAAGGAGGGACUUCUGGGAAGCAAUGUUGAUGCCAAAAGGCCUACCAGGGUCUGCAGCCACAGGGGUCACUGACUGAAGAGUAGUCAUCCACUGGGGAUCACGUGUGUGUGUGUGUGUGUGUGUGUGUGUGUGCGCGCGCGCGCGUGCACGUGUGUGUGUUCUUCAGUGGAUGGCUUCAGGUUGGAGCAAGAGGUGGAAGUGGAGAGUGAUGGAAGGAGAUAAAGUUCCAUAUGAGUUUGACGUAGCCUAGAAAACUUUCAGAGCAUCUUCUCUCUUGUUAUCUAAAUCUUGGACUGGUGUUACCUCACGCCUACCAACUGUAGAGCAGACUCUAACAUCAGCCAAAAAUGUCUUCCAGGCCCUUCCUCGUCACUUGCCACCUGACUAUGAUCAGACUCCCAGUUUCUUUAGCCCCAGCCUCUGAGGGAGGAGAAAGUCUAUUAAGGGCUACCUUAGGAAGAAAGUCCAUGGGUCUUUCUGACUGGGAAGCCACAACUUGAAUUUGGAAACUAUCUACUGCCCUGGGUCCAUUUUCCCACCAUCAGACUCAGCUAUCAGAUUUUUAAGAAAGAGAAAUCUUUUUUUAAAAAGUUUUGUAAGCUAACAUGUCUCUCCUUAGUCCUUCUCCUUGAGUUUCACCUACAAAGCUCACAGGGCCUGAUUAUGGCAACCUAGGCUGAUUAGGAACUAUGACCAAUUAGUCAAUCAUUAGCUCUUCCUCUACCAGUGAGCUAGUGAGUACCUAGAAGAAAUCCAUCCCCAGGGCCUCAACUCCAACAAUCCUGCUUCUGUGUCACUGACAGUGGAGGCGAGGCUCCUGAGGGCCGGAAAGGCCCUGGACUUGGCUUACUGCUCUGGAGGGUGGAGCAGCACCGGUCCUUUCCAUAGAAAUAUCAACAUGGUCUAACCCUAGCAGUCACUGAGCCCACCUGCCUCUAGGGAUCUCCAAAGCAAAGAGUGUCCAUUGAUCCAAGGAGGGAGGAAAGAGGAGGUCUCUCUAGUCCACUGGGGAAGAGGACUCUGCCUGCUAGGACAUUUUACAAACCUAAAAGGGCUUUGAAGAGGAAAAAUGAGUUGAUUCAUUUCCAUCGCUACAGGAACCUUUCCACAGGCCCUCCAUAAGAUGCCCCUGGGGAUGUUUAAAAGUGUAGCACUGCUGAGGGAACAGCCCUCUUUUCUUUAGGGAAGAGCUCUCAAUAGGCCUCCUGGGGAAGUAGAACUUCCGGAACUAUCCGGAAGGCUGUUUAAUGAAAAGAAACCCACGCUGUUCUCAGAGAUCCUUCCUAGAAUUUACAAGCAGGCAGGGUGAUCCCAGGCAGUUCACACCCCUAUUUUCCACAGGUGGGCUGAUGGUAAAGAUAUGAAGACUAGCGUACAUACAGAGGGGCUUUAGAGGGAGGGAAAGAAUUCUCCUCAUGUGAUGUUCUGAGCCCGGCGAUUGGCAAGUCUUUAAAAACAAACUUUCCAAGCCGAGUAAAUAUUGUUUCUAGACGGUCCUCCUAUGGUUGAGUUAGUUUCACAUAAAUCACAAUAUUUAGGCAAUGUUGGACAUUAUAGGAUCAAUCAGAACCCCUUUAAAGAGAGGCAAGACUGUAGAAGGGAGGCUUUCCUAAGUAGUUUAAUGCAGAAGUAACUCUAAUGUUACCGGAUAAUCAAAAUGAGACUGACCAAUGUCUUAGGACAUAAUUAUCAUGGUAUAUAAAAAAUAGCAAUAAAGGUAAUGAUGAUUACCCACACCACCCUCUCCAAGGAGAUUUUUCUCUGGAGGCUCCAGCUUCUCUGGACCUUGGUCUUAACCUUGACAUGUGCCUGUUUUAUCAUCUGCAGCCACACUGUGGUGAGUUCCAAGUCCCGCUUUGCAGUGUAGACUCUACCUGCAGAAAUUCUGGAUAAAAGCUUUUCUGAUAAAUGCCAGCCCCCCAGGAAGCAUUUGGAUGGCAGAGAAAAGGGAGCUAUCUCCACAGAGCUAUUUUGCAUUCCCCUCUCGCCUUGGAUUGUCACAUGAUGAUCUUGUAUGUGUAAAAUAUAAGUGCAAGGCAAAACAGACAGAAAGGUUCCAACUCAGAAUUCUUGAGCUGAGUGUACCUACCUAUUUAAAAAAUGCCCAGUUCUUCGAUUGAUCCAGAGAGAAGACAUUCAUUAAGAUGUUAGUAACUAUUCAAAAUAAGAUAGAAAGUUAAUGCUUUGCUUGUUUCAGAAUAUAAUUUCAUAUUCUCCUAAAAAUAAGAAAAGUUCGUGAUACAUUCAGGAUCAUAGUCACGUGUCUAUCUCACCUUUUAAACGAGGGGUCUAGGCAGCCUACUGGAACCAGAAGAAUCAGUUGCACAAUAGGACCUGGUCAGUCAGUUUAUUUAACCAAUCAAUCCCGAACUAGUUCCAACUUCCUGGAAGGUGGCAAUGUCCCCAUUGUUCCCCUCUGGCAUUGGUGGGAAGGGACAGGAUCAUCAUCCCCCUCCCCCUCCCCCUCCUCUAAAACAAGCUAUUCCAAAAAUGAAGUCUGAGGAAGAACGUUCUGGUACCUUCUGGUUCUUGUGAGGUGAGGCAACAAUAGUGACUACAUUGCCUGUGUCUAGAGGGGUGGACAUUCUGCAGAGAGACAGUCGCAAGCAUUUUAGGUCCAUCAUGGAAUGAAACAUGCUUGAUACAGACAUAUGUUGAUGGUUUCAGAGUCCCUUGGGGACCUGCCAGACCAGGUAAAUUGUAUUAUGAGGGAAGCCAAAGCUGAAGCUGUGUUUCCAUCUAAUAAAAGCUCACCAUCACUAAAAGAGUUUGCACCUACAAUCAAACCCUUCUAGAAGCAGUAGGUGUCUGGUCAGGAGGUACUUCUGGGGUUUCUCUCCAUUCCUCCAUGGUUCAGGAGUCUACUCAGCUAUAAGAGGAGGCAGAAUACUAACGCGGCCUUGCUUGGAAACAUGAAACACUAACUCGUGGCUGAAACUAAGUUCAGUCAUUCUCAAAGAUUAUAGUUUGAGAGCUACGUGUUUAUAUCAUCCAUAUUCAUAUACAUUAUAUCUAUAUAUAGCAUUACAAAGAACCUUUAGAAAGCAUGUAGGAAAGAAGUGUGCCUCUGAGGCACCAGACUACUGUUGGGAGAACGUUUGUGAUCUUGUCACUGGCCUUGGGGCCCUUGUACAGACAGGCCAGUGACUUUGUAUCCAUUGCUCUUUAUUAUUUAAACUAAUAGCUUGUCCCUGAGUUAUAAGUGUAUUCUUUCUCCUUUACCAAUGUUCCAAUCCCAGCCUAGUUUCAAGAUACUUUCAUCUCAUUAUUAUGAAUGAGUAUAAAUCAAACUGCACAAUCUUAUUUAAUGUUGUUUCUGGAAAUAGAUGGAUGUAUUCUCCACUAUCACCACAUGCACCAGCAAAAAUAAACAAACCAUAGUCCUAAAAUAAGGUUUAACUUAAACCGAACUUUCCACAAAAUUGAUCUGGUGUUUGGCAAGAACAGUUUUGAAGACAUGGUGUUUUUGUAUAUAGCUAGAGAUAUUCCAACACAGACUAUGAAUAUAUUUAUAGGAGAUAUAAGGCUAGGAUCUAGCUUGGUUGUAGAGUGUUUGCUUAGCGUGAAUGAAGGCCUAGGUCAGAUCUCCAGCACUACGUAAACCAGGCCUGGUAGCAACCACUGGUAAUCUGAGCACAAGGAAACUGACGGCAGGAAGAUCAAGGUCAGCCGCAUAGCAGACUGGAGUCCAGUCUGAGCUACGUGAGACCUUUCCCCAAAACAAAUAAAAACAAGUAAAAUAUUCAGCUGAUAUUUGAAUCCCCUCCCCCACAGUCACCUAGUUUUUCCAUGUUAUAAGCCAAGGAGUUAACUGAUUAGCAGCUCUAAUUCACUGUAUAUAGAGACACUCCAAAUGAUGGUAACUCUCAUUUCUUGAGACCUUUAACUGUGGUGAGAACAGACCUUGCUUCCAAGCCUUACUAAAUGCACCAUGCCUUUGAAUACACACCAAGCUGAAUGCUUUCUUCAUAUCCUCGAGCCAGCUGUAAAUGCGUUUCCUGGUCUUGAUUGGUAUUUUGACUGAUUCAAAUAAAGUUGGUUUAUUUUCAAAUAUUACAAAA